AAUGUGCUUGUUUUGGAGGAGCUGUGAGACUUCAAACAGUCUUUGAGUAGUCAGUCUUUAAGACUAACUUCCACUCUCCACACUUACUUUCCCACAUACAGAGACUUGGAUUUGUGAGGCCGUCUCCUUCCUGUAGAUUUUAAGUUCCAUGAAAGCAGAGAAUUUUGGUUUGUUGUUCAAUGCUGUGCCUGGUACGCGGUGACAGUCAAUAUAUAUUGAAUAAAUGAAUUAAAAAUA